CUUAGCCACCCACUGGCUCUCGGGUCAGGCCGCGUCCGACUCAGAAACCCGGGGAGUCGAGGUCCCACGGCCUCAGACGUAGAAACCGGAAGUCCUGGUCCGACUGAGAAACCAGACCGGGUCUGCAGUGGGACUGGGUCCAAUUUAGAGACCCGCUGGGUCUGCGGUCAAACCGGGUCCCGUUCGAACUCAGGAAGUCGAGGUCGCCCCGCCUCAGACGUAGCAACCGGAAGUCUUGGUCUGACUGAGAAACCAGACCGGAUGUGGGGCUGGACUGGGUCCGACGCAGAAACCGUCUGGAGUCCGUUAUUCUGGGUCCACUCGGAAACCAGGAAGGGGUGGGUGGGUCCCGGCUGGAUUGGGUCUGCCUUAAGCUGGACCGGCACCAGCGUGAGGCAUCCGGUGAGAAGAUUAAAGCUGUAUUCUCAUAGCCACUUGCCUGUAGCUUUUCAAACAAAAGGCAAUGUUGCCAUGACCUUCAUCCACACUGUUUGAGAACCACUGGAUUAGGAAAAUGAAGCUACCUCUUCACUGACAUAGAAAAGAG
rnacentral:lncRNA from 1 species